AUACGUAGGGGGCGAGCGUUGUCCGGAAUGAUUGGGCGUAAAGGGCGCGUAGGCGGCGCGGUAAGUCUGGAGUGAAAGUCCUGCUUUCAAGGUGGGAAUUGCUUUGGAUACUGCCGCGCUUGAGUGCAGGAGAGGUUAUCGGAAUUCCCGGUGUAGCGGUGAAAUGCGUAGAGAUCGGGAGGAACACCAGUGGCGAAGGCGGGUAACUGGACUGCAACUGACGCUGAGGCGCGAAAGUGUGGGGAGCAAACAGGAUUAGAUACCCUGGUAGUCCACACUGUAAACGAUGAAUGCUAGGUGUAAGAGGUAUCGACCCCCUUUGUGCCGGAGUCAACACAAUAAGCAUUCCGCCUGGGGAGUACGGCCGCAAGAUUGAAACUCAAAUGAAUUGACGGGG
rnacentral:rRNA from 1 species